rnacentral:tRNA from 1 species
GGAAUUGUAGCUUAGUGGUAGAGUACUUGCCUAGCAUGUGUGAGGCCCUGGGUUUGAUCCCCAGCACUGUUU